CACAUUGAAAUACCGGUUCCCGUACGAUCACCGAAGUUAAGCAACGUCAAACCUGGUUAGUACCUAGAUGGGUGACCACUUAGCAAUACCAGAUACUGUAAG